rnacentral:rRNA from 1 species
UACGAAGGGGGCUAGCGUUGUUCGGAAUCACUGGGCGUAAAGGGUGCGUAGGCGGCUCUUUAAGUCAGGGGUGAAAUCCUGGAGCUCAACUCCAGAACUGCCUUUGAUACUGAAGAUCUUGAGUUCGGGAGAGGUGAGUGGAACUGCGAGUGUAGAGGUGAAAUUCGUAGAUAUUCGCAAGAACACCAGUGGCGAAGGCGGCUCACUGGCCCGAUACUGACGCUGAGGCACGAAAGCGUGGGGAGCAAACAGG